rnacentral:rRNA from 1 species
GUGGGGAAUUUUGGACAAUGGGCGAAAGCCUGAUCCAGCCAUGCGGCGUGCAGGAUGAAGGCCUUCGGGUUGUAAACUGCUUUUGUACGGAACGAAAAGACUCCUUCUAAUAAAGGGGGUCCAUGACGGUACCGUAAGAAUAAGCACCGGCUAACUACGUGCCAGCAGCCGCGGUAAUACGUAGGGUGCAAGCGUUAAUCGGAAUUACUGGGCGUAAAGCGUGCGCAGGCGGUUAUAUAAGACAGAUGUGAAAUCCCCGGGCUCAACCUGGGAACUGCAUUUGUGACUGUAUACCUAGAGUACGGUAGAGGGGGAUGGAAUUCCGCGUGUAGCAGUGAAAUGCGUAGAUAUGCGGAGGAACACCGAUGGCGAAGGCAAUCCCCUGGACCUGUACUGACGCUCAUGCACGAAAGCGUGGGGAGCAAACAGGAUUAGAUACCCGGGUAGUCC